CAUGCAUGUCUAAGUACAAACUAAAUUAACAGUGAAACCGCAAAAGGCUCAUUAUAUCAGUUAUGGUUUAUUAGAUCAUUAACAGUUACUUGGAUAACUGUGGUAAUUCUAGAGCUAAUACAUGCAAUAUAAACAUGAACCUUAUGGAACAUGUGCUCUUAUUAGUCUAAAACCAAGCGAUUUUUUUCAAAAUCGUUAUAAUGGUUGAACUCUAGAUAAUUUGCCAAUCGUAUGGUCUUGUACCGACGAUAGAUCUUUUAAAUGUCUGCCCUAUCAACUAUUGAUGGUAGUAUUUAGGACUACCAUGGUUGCAACGGGUAACGGGGAAUCAGGGUUCGAUUCCGGAGAGGGAGCCUGAGAAACAGCUACCACAUCUAAGGAAGGCA
rnacentral:rRNA from 1 species